rnacentral:rRNA from 1 species
UCCGAACCGGCCGCGAGGGCCGAGGUGAUGCCGGCCGGCAUGUUGGCGCCGAGUGCGUUGGACACCACCGGGCCGGCCGCCUUGAGCGCCUCGGCGAUGAGCCGGGUGGUGGUGGUCUUGCCGUUGGUCGCCGAGACGAGGGUCACGUCCAGGUGCUGGGCGAGCCGGGCCAGGAGGUCGGGGUCGAGUUUGAGCGCGACCCGGCCACCGAUCACCGAACCGCUGCCGCGCCCGGCGGCGCGGGACGCCGCCGCGACCGCCUUGCCCGCGGUCACGGCGAUCUUGGCCCGCGGCGUGAGCGGGUCCGAGUUGCCUGUCAUCAGUUCUCGAUCCUCCUUGCGUACGCGCCGCGCCUGAAGCCUGUGAAGCCUGACGGCCACGUGGUGGGACCUCAGCCUAUCGAGAUCCAUUCGCACUCCCGAAUCGCGGCACCGGCCACGGGGUUCCGACGGUGGGCGCGAGCCGCCGGGGGACACAGGGACCUUACUCUUGCCGCCAUGCGACACGGCUCCAUCCCGGGCUCCCACGGGCGCGUCCGGCCCCUCAGUCUCCUCGGCGACCCCGUCCUGCACGCUCCCUGCGAGGAGGUGAGGGACUUCGGUCCGGAACUCGCGGCGCUCGUGGAGGACUUGUUCGCCACGAUGUACGCCGCCCGCGGCGUGGGUCUGGCCGCCAACCAGAUCGGCGAACCGGUCCGGGUCUUCGUGUACGACUGCCCGGACGACGAGGACGAGCGCCACCUCGGGCACGUGGUGAACCCGCGGCUGGUGGAGAGUGGCGGGCCGGUGGUGCGCGGGCCCGAGGGGUGUCUGUCGCUGCCGGGGCUCGAGGCCGGGACCGAGCGCCACGACGAGGCGGUCGUGGCGGGUUUCACGGUGGCCGGGGAGCCGGUCACCGCGCGCGGCACGGGGUUCUUCGCACGGUGUCUCCAGCACGAGUGCGACCAUCUGGAGGGCGGUCUCUACGUCGACCGCCUCACGGGGUGGCGCAGGCGCCGGGUGCUGCGGCAGGCGUCCCGGGCGUCCUGGAGCCGUACCGGUACGCCAAAGCGGGCGAGGGACCGGGGCUAGGGGGGCGUCGUUCGGAUCAGCUCCGCUCACCGGCGUUGAUCAGCCACGUUCCUUCCCUGCGAACAGGAUCCGAACGACAGCCCCUAGAACCCGGGGCCGCCCGCCUUGUCCCCGGCCUCGGCGAGCCGGCCCCAGAGCAGGUCGGCCAGGCUGCGGACCAGGUCCGCCCGGGAACACGGGCGUUCGCCCAGCCACCAGUCCCCGGCGGCGUGCAUCAUGCCGACGAUCCCGUGGCCCCAGACCCGGGCCAUCUGCUGGGUGCCCGGCCCCACGUCCAGACGCUCCUCGAUGACCUGGGCCAGCUCCUCGCCCAUGCGGCGCAGCAGCGGUGCCGAGUGCUUGCCGACGUCGAAGCCGGACUCGGCCUGGUCGCCCGGACCGGUGCUGCCCUCGGCCGGAUGCAUCAGGAAGCGGUACACCUGCGGGCGUGCCUCGAUGGCCGCCAGGUAGGUGUCCAGGGUGGACUCGACGCGCCUGCGCCGCUCCGCCGGGGCGUCCAGCGCGGUCCGCAGCGAGGACAGGAGCGCGUCGGUGUGCCGCUGCGCGAGGGCGGCGUAGAGUCCGCCCUUGUCGCCGAAGUGGCGGUAGAGGAUGGGCUUGGUGAUGCCGGCCUCGGCGGCGAUGGCGUUCAUCGAGGCCUGUGGGCCGUCGCGCAGCACCACCCGGUCGGCGGCCUCCAGAAGCUCGCGCCGUCUGCGGUCGGCGGACCGCUGCUGAUCGGUCCGCUGUGUGGUGUCCAUGUGCUCUCCCCACCCGUGCUCGUUCGGUGACGCCUGCGCAAACUAACACCCACCGGGCGUGGGGCAUCGAACGGGAGGGUGACGGGUUCUCGGGAGUUGACUUUUCUUACCCGUCGGUAACAGACUCGGGUUACCGCAAGUAACAUGCACGUGCGUCACUGGAGGGGACAUGGCCGAGUUCACCAUGGAGCUCAACGACGAACAGAAGGAGGUCCGGGACUGGCUGCACGGCUUCGCGGCCGACGUCAUCCGCCCCGCGGCCGCCGAAUGGGACGAGCGUGAGGAGACUCCCUGGCCGGUCAUCCAGGAGGCAGCCAAGGUCGGCAUCUACUCCCUCGACUUCUACGCCCAGCAGUACUUCGACCCCACCGGUCUCGGCAUCCCCAUGGCGAUGGAGGAGCUGUUCUGGGGUGACGCCGGCAUCGCCCUGUCCAUCGUCGGUACCGGCCUCGCCGCCGUCGGCGUCCUCGCCAACGGUACCGAGGAGCAGAUCGGCACCUGGAUCCCCCAGAUGUACGGCGACGCGAGUGACGUGAAGGUCGCCGCGUUCUGCUCCUCCGAGCCCGACGCCGGCUCCGACGUGGCCUCCAUGCGCACGCGUGCCGUGUACGACGAGGCCAAGGACGAGUGGGUCCUCAAUGGGACGAAGACGUGGGCGACGAACGGCGGCAUCGCCAACGUCCACGUCGUCGUCGCGGUCGUCGACGCGGAGCUGGGCUCCAAGGGCCACGCGUCGUUCAUCAUCCCCCCGAACACCCCGGGCCUGUCCCAGGGGCAGAAGUUCAAGAAGCACGGCAUCCGCGCCUCGCACACCGCCGAGGUGAUCCUCGACAACGUGCGUGUCCCCGGCUCCUGCCUGCUCGGCGGCAAGGAGAAGCUGGACGCCCGUCUGGCCCGCGCCCGGGAGAAGGCCAAGAAGGGCGGCGAGCGCGUCAAGAACGCCGCGAUGGCCACCUUCGAGGCGUCCCGACCGGCGGUCGGCGCCAUGGCGGUGGGUACGGCCCGUGCCGCGUACGAGGUGGCGCUGGAUUACGCCCGGACGCGUGAGCAGUUCGGCCGCCCGAUCAUCGACAACCAGGGCGUCGCCUUCCAGCUCGCCGACAUGCGCACCUCCAUCGACGCCGCGCGGCUGCUGGUGUGGCGGGCCUCCUGGAUGGCGAUCAACGGCAAGCCGUUCACGGCUGCCGAGGGGUCGAUGUCCAAGCUCUUCGCGAGCGAGACGGCGAAGAAGGUGACCGCCCAGGCAGUCCAGAUCCUGGGCGGCAACGGCUACACGCGGGAGUACCCGGUGGAGCGCAUGCACCGGGACUCCGCGAUUUACACGAUCUUCGAGGGGA